rnacentral:rRNA from 1 species
CCGCCUGGGGAGUACGGUCGCAAGAUUAAAACUCAAAGGAAUUGACGGGGCCCCGCACAAGCGGUGGAGCAUGUGGUUAAUUCGACGCAACGCGCAGAACCUUACCAACCCUUGACAUCCCGGUCGCGAUUUCCAGAGAUGGAUUUCUUCAGUUCGGCUGGACCGGAGACAGGUGUUGCAUGGCUGUCGUCAGCUCGUGUCGUGAGAUGUUGGGUUAAGUCCCGCAACGAGCGCAACCCUCGCCUUUAGUUGCCAUCAUUUAGUUGGGCACUCUAGAGGGACUGCCGGUGAUAAGCCGGAGGAAGGUGGGGAUGACGUCAAGUCCUCAUGGCCCUUACGGGUUGGGCUACACACGUGCUACAAUGGCGGCGACAAUGGGCAGCAAAGGGGCGACCCGGUGCAAAUCCCAAAAAGCCGUCUCAGUUCGGAUUGUACUCUGCAACUCGAGUGCAUGAAGGUGGAAUCGCUAGUAAUCGCGUAACAGCAUGACGCGGUGAAUACGUUCCCGGGCCUUGUACACACCGCCCGUCACACCAUGGGAGUUGGUUUUACCCGAAGCUGGUGCGCUAACCGCAAGGAGGCAGCCAACCACGGUAAGGUCAGCGACUGGGGUGAAGUCGUAACAAGUCAGCCCUAGGGGAACCUGGGGCAGGAUCACCUCCUGAAGCUUGGAUCCCGGGAAUCGAAUUCCCGCGC